rnacentral:tRNA from 1 species
GCCUCUGUAGCUCAAUCUGGUAGAGCAAUUGCUUCGUAAGCAAUAGGUUGUGGGUUCGAUUCCCGUCGAAGGCU